AAUCCCCAAAGUAAUUCCAGGAAAGCUUUUUAUAAGGACAUGUUUAUUUUUUCUCCAUUGAAUCUACAGGUUCAGGAACAGUGUCUGGCAGUGCCUAGUAGGUGUUCAGUAUGCAUCUGUUGAACAAAGGAUUGGGUUCUUCAAAGUGUGCCUUGAUGAGCAAGCAUAUCCUGUGCAGAUAGAAAGUGACCUAGAAAUGGAAAUUUACUGUGGCCUUAUCGACAAUAUUUUGGUUUAAGACUAUCGUGUUGUCUAAAAGUCAAUGGCAAUAAAAGAAAUUUCAAAGGUGGUGGUUUCCUACUGCCCUAGCCUCUGGGUGCCUACUCC